UCCGGUUCGAAACCGGACCGUGGCUACCCCUACCUAUAUCUAGCUAAGUGGAGUACCAUGUCUCCAUACCUGUGACUUGGUAAUGCUUUUCAGGUAACUAUGUGUUGUAUUUAUAAUUACUUCCUAAUCCCAUUGGGUUCCCAUGAGUUUAGUUCAAAUAAAAGUUCUUAUUUGCAAAGUCUAAUUUGUCUAAAAUAUUUAUUCCCAUUAAUGGAUUUAGGGACUAUUUUUUGCUUUUCUGGUCCUAAUGCUUAAGUUCUCAGUAUCUGAAUUUCUAUUGAUUUUCAGG
rnacentral:misc_RNA from 1 species